rnacentral:rRNA from 1 species
AGAGUUUGAUCAUGGCUCAGGACAAACGCUGGCGGCGUGGUAACACAUGCAAGUCGGACGAGGGGGUUCUUUCGGGAGCCACCCGAGUGGCGGACGGGUGCGUAACACGUGGAUAACCUACCCGGCGGUGGGGGAUAGCGCUCAGAAAUGGGCGAUAAGACCGCAUACGCUCGCGUGGACCAACACGGUCUAGGCGAGGAAAGCCUGAGGGGUGUAAACCUUUGAGGCGCCGCCGGAGGGGUCCGCGGCCGAUUAGCUAGUUGGGGGGGUAACGGCCUCCCAAGGCGACGAUCGGUAGCUGGUCUGAGAGGAUGAUCAGCCACACUGGGAUUGAGAACGGCCCAGACUCCUACGGGGGGCAGCAGUGAGGAAUCUUCGGCAAUGGGCGCAAGCCUGACCGAGCAACGCCGCGUGGAGGACGACGGCCUUCGGGUUGUAAACUCCUUUUCUUGGGGACGAGGUAGUACGGACGGUACCCGAGGAAGAAGCCUCGGCUAACUACGUGCCAGAGCCGCGGUAAUACGUAGGAGGCGAGCGUUGUCCGGAGUUACUGGGCGUAAAGGGUGCGCAGGCGGCCCGGCAGGUGGGUGGUGAAAGCUCCUGGCUCAACUGGGAGAGGGCCAUGCAGACGGUCGGGCUUGAGGGUCGCAGAGGGGCGUGGAAUUCCGGGUGGAGCGGUGAAAUGCGUAGAGAUCCGGAGGAACACCGACGGCGAAGGCAGCGCCCUGGACGAUCCCUGACGCUCAGGCACGAAAGCUGGGGGAGCAAACAGGAUUAGAUACCCUAGUAGUCC